rnacentral:tRNA from 1 species
GGGUCGUUAGCUCAGUUGGUAGAGCAGCGGACUUUUAAUCCGCUUGGUCCCGCGUUCGAGUCGCGGACGACCCACCA